CUGAGUGGAGAUGGGGCACUGUGAGAGUAAAGUGUCUUGCCAAAGAACACAACUCAAUGCGUUCCCCAGCUUUGGCUUGAACCCGAACCGUUCGAUCAGGAGUCGAUCUUUAUUAACCAUGAGGCCACCGCGCCUCCACACAACAUUUAGUGCCUUGUAAUUUCAAACCCUUGCACUUGAUUGAAAGGCUCACAUUCAGUGGUUCUCCAUCCAAACUCUAUUAGAAUAAGAAGAAAUUAAACUUUGACAAUGUUAUGAAGCAAUUUAUCGUCAAGAUCAGAUGAGACUGGAAACUACUUUGAGCAAUGAGUUACUUCACAUAAUGCAUUUCGCGCGUAAUUUUGAAGUUGCUACAUGCUGCGAAUUUCCUGCAGAGAGGAUCGCAGAGAGGUUUCCUGUCUAAAACGUGAUAAAAAUCAAAGUUAGUUAAACAGAAGGAACCGUAUGAGCCUCGGACAGUGAUUCAAUCAAGUCCAAGAGGUUCAAAAUGUGCCUUCGACAUCCUCAAGGAAAUUACAGUUUGUGUACUGAUCUACACGUGGCUUCACAGACGGGUUUGAUUGACAAUCUGUUGUGGAAGGUACAGGGGGAACAAACUGUCUCCACCGCCUGCCCAUAAGCUGCAGUGCCAGCAGUAGCCCCGCCACUACAUGUAUCUCCUGUAGCAAUUCCACUUCCCAUUGUGGCAACUCUAUAGCCUGUGGAGAGAUCAGUCACUCAAGAACACCAGCAUGAGCCACAGACUCCAUUUACAGUGCGAUCAUUAAUAUCCAAGGAUGAGUAGCCAGAGAAUGCAGAGUCCCCAGAUGGUGGAAUUACUAAAACGGUGGCACCUCAAGAGAGAGGUUAUCUAUUAACUAAAGGCCCUCUUCAAAUUCUUCAAAAUCAGCAAGGAGGAUGAAGUGACACAGAGAAAGCAUCAGUGCCAAACAGAAUAAGUCACAAAUUCUGCGACACCAGAAAACUGCUGUCACAUCUGUCAAACGACUCAGCCAGCAAAGGACUCGGAAAGAAA